rnacentral:rRNA from 1 species
CUUGUCUCAAAGAUUAAGCCAUGCAUGUCUAAGUAUAAGCAACUAUACGGUGAAACUGCGAAUGGCUCAUUAAAUCAGUUAUCGUUUAUUUGAUAGUACCUUUUUACUUGGAUAACCGUGGUAAUUCUAGAGCUAAUACAUGCUAAAAACCUCGACUUCGGAAGGGGUGUAUUUAUUAGAUAAAAAACCAAUGCCCUUCGGGGCUCCUUGGUGAAUCAUAAUAACUUUACGAAUCGCAUGGCCUUGCGCCGGCGAUGGUUCAUUCAAAUUUCUGCCCUAUCAACUUUCGAUGGUAGGAUAGUGGCCUACCAUGGUUUCAACGGGUAACGGGGAAUUAGGGUUCGAUUCCGGAGAGGGAGCCUGAGAAACGGCUACCACAUCCAAGGAAGGCAGCAGGCGCGCAAAUUACCCAAUCCCAAUACGGGGAGGUAGUGACAAUAAAUACUGAUACAGGGCUCUUUUGGGUCUUGUAAUUGGAAUGAGUACAAUUUAAAUCCCUUAACGAGGAACAAUUGGAGGGCAAGUCUGGUGCCAGCAGCCGCGGUAAUUCCAGCUCCAAUAGCGUAUAUUAAAGUUGUUGCAGUUAAAAAGCUCGUAGUUGAACCUUGGGCCUGGCUGGCCGGUCCGCCUCACCGCGUGCACUGGUUCGGCCGGGCCUUUCCUUCUGGGGAGCCGCAUGCCCUUCACUGGGUGUGUCGGGGAACCAGGACUUUUACUUUGAAAAAAUUAGAGUGUUCAAAGCAGGCCUAUGCUCGAAU